GAACUCUUGAUUUCUCUAUUUCAAGAGUCCCAUAGGAAUGUCCAGACAAGCUUAUGUAGAUAUCCUUCUUACAGGAACAAUGGACAAUACUGGAGCCAGGAUCUGUCUACAGUAUUCACAUUAAGUUGGCAGGUUUUGUGGAUUGAAGAGUACAGAUGUGUGCAGCAACAGUUUUGUCAGGCGCAGCAGUUAUAAGUCAUGUUCUGGCUUUGCAUCCUAGAAUUGAUAUCAAGUUUUCAUACAUAUUUGUUCCAUAUGAGACUUCCAAAAAAAUUCAGGAGUGCCAGUUCCAAGGGAGAUGAAGGAGUCCUGUGGGUGAUCAUGUUGACAGGAGGACUAACAAGAUCAUAGCCAGAGACUAUGCAUCACAUGCUGCCUUUGAAUUCAUGGCAAAAUAGAACGUCUGCAUUAAAGGAUCAACAUCUUCCAUUAAACUCCUGUGAUGUCACAACAAACUAGGACUGAAGAUCAGGGACCAGUUUGACAGGCUUUCAAAUGGACCUCCUGGAUAUGGGGAUAUAACGCAAUAGACAAGAAGGGAAUGAAAGACAGAGAGAAAAGACAAUGCUUGGAAAUAAAAAUGGUGGUGCCUUGAGGGAAGAGCAAUUGAGUAUAACUGGGUAAAUGACACAAUGGAAUUGUGCUGCUAAUUUUCCCCUGCUACACAUAUAAAUUAUGCAGAGAAUAUUGGAUUGAUAACUUCUCUGCAGUGAAAACUGCCUAUUUGCUUUCAGGGCCUGGCAGAGGUGAGAGCAGUGGUGAGAGGAAUUAGCACACAAAAAAGGAAUAAGAGACAUACAAAAUUACGUAUGACACAGAGGAUCCUGGAAAACUGUGAAAUGUACACAUGCAUCCUGAGAGUCAAAUUAGGGAAGAUACACAUUUCAUUUAACCUGAAAUUUGGGCUACCAGGUUGGCAGAUAUAAGAAGAAGCGCCUUAAAUAGUUAACAGCUUCAGCUAAUUGCUGGUUCAUAAUGAAGUUAAUAGCUCCUAGUUGAUGUUUUCUUUGCAAGCUUUAAUAAGGCUUACUUAAAACCUCUACUUUUUCUUUAAAAAGUUGCCAGCUAUGCGUAAGAAAGGCAAUAAUGUACAGAACACUGGCAAAUAAAUGUCUUCGAGACUUAUGUGGCCUCUUGACAGUAGCUUUGACAUAUAUUUUUCAUGUUUUAGAAUGAUAAAUGCAACAUCUUGGAGCAUAAUUUGCCAGAAAAAAAAAAAAGAGAAGACAGAUGGGGAAAGCAAAAUGUCCAAGAAAACUGCUUGUCUAAGGUUACUGCUAGGUUUUUUACUUUUUACAAAACUUUGGUUUGGUUCAUGCUCCCUAGUUGCUUUUUCUUAUUGGAAGUAGAGGUUUGUAUUAAACAUUGAGAACAUUAUAAACAUAUCACAAAAGAGGCUAUGAUUUCCUGAAAGUGAUUCUUUAUAGAAAAACAUUUGAUAACUACUAUUUAUAAAGGAGCAGGCUCUGUUACUUCUAUCCAGAAGAAGAUAAUGAGAACUAAAACUCUAAGACACUUGUUCAGGGAGCAGUAGUCUGAUUCAGGCUUCACUGGGCUAAAAUCUAUGUGUCAGGAGGGCUACAGCACCUUUCUGGACGGUAUAGGGAAGAAUCUGUGUUCUUGCCUUUCCAACUUCUAGAGAUUGCCAAUAUUUCUUGGCUCAUGGCUCACUCCCAUCUUCUAAACCAGCCAUGAUAGGUUGAGUCUUUUGCACAAGGAAUUGCUCCAACUCCUUCUCUGUCCCUCUUUUCCACUUUUAAGAAUCCUUGUAGUUACAUUGGCCCCAGCAGAUAAUCCAGAGUAACUUCCUUAUUCUAAGAUAGGUUAAUUAUCCAUUUUAAUUCCAUCUUCAACCUAAGUCUUUCUUGAUAUGUGAGGUAACAUAUUCAA